rnacentral:lncRNA from 1 species
AGUGAUCUAAUUGAAAUAGAAGUUAAAGUUCGAUAACUUGAUUUGAAAAAAAAAAAAAAAAAACUAAAAAUUUUAUGAAGUAAAUGAAAUUUCAGGAAAAAUUAGGCGACUAAUAUUGUAUUAGACUUAAUUAUAUGCAAUUACUUGUACAUGUGUACGACAUAUAUACUUAAAUACAUCAUAUUGAUAUACACUUUCAUAUGCGUAUAUAUAUUAUUUAAUUACUCUCUCCCUCUUCCUCUAUCCUGCACUUAAUUUCUAUCUUUAAGCCAAUUUAAAUAUUGGGUUAGUUGACUUUGAAUAAGUAUAAAGCGAACCAAAUUUUAAUUUUUUUCAUCUUAUUUCAUUUUCGUGUGAACAUGGUGGAAUCGAGUUUUUAUACUAAUCAAAUAUAGGGAAACAAACAACCCGCCCCUCGUCCGCAUGGUGCCACUCCUAUUUAUAGGCAAAUCCUGGCAGAGACCCAGCCUGAGAGAGGAACCCCCAGCCACUUCCGGCGGCGCCGGAGACGGAAGAAGGGAUUAGAGGAAAGAUUUGCAGAGACAGGAGAAUUAGGAUGCACAUGGGGAGCAAAGAGAAGAGAUACCGCAACCACAGGGGCACACCGGCCAAACCUGACGCAGAGAUGUAACGGGCGUACGUCGGCCGCAGGAGAAGGUCAGCAUAGGGCCCGACAAGCAUCCGACAGGGAGAGGGGAUGGGGCCCGGCUCGGAGAGAGAACGACUCGGAGAGACACGGGACGGGAGGCACGUGACGCCGCUCGUCGCCAGCGAAGGAAGCGGGCAGAGCUGAGGAGGCGGGGGGUCGCUGGGGAGGCGACGCGUGGCGGUUUAGGGUUCGACUUUUAUUAUAUGUAUAGAUAACCUUAUAGUGAUAAGAGUUAAUUUCAUGAGUACAUAUAUACCCUUCCGUCCACCUCUAAUUUUGUCAAUAUUAAAAAUGAUCUUUUAAUUUCAAGAAACUAUUC